rnacentral:lncRNA from 1 species
AAAUAACUUUCUAACUAGUCAUUUAAGAGCAACUCCCGGGAAACUGUGAUGCAAUCCCACAUAUCAGCCAGACUUCAAAAGCUGCCAGAUUAUUGUGAAAGGAGAAACACUGUUUUCGAAGGCUGCUGAUAAUGCCUAUUAGCCAGAAGAAAGAGCCUGAAUCAUUCAAAGGUUUUCCAUCUAGUAAAGAAGUGUGGUAAAAAUCUUGCCCAGAUCUGCAUGUGCUAAGCAUCUACGUAAGUUGGAGCAUCAUAUUAAUGACACCCAGUGAAGAAACGAAAGAAUGAAGUGUAAUUACUAUAUCAAAAAUCCACAGAAUGUGAAAGUAUAAAGGAAAACUCUCAGGUGAGACUCGAUUAUUUUUAUUUCAAAGAUCUAGGUAAAAAUGUGAACAGAUUGGGAGGCUGAGGCAGGAGAAUCACUUGAACCCAGGAGGCAGAAGUUGCAGUGAGCCAAGAUUGCACCAUUGGACUCCAGCCUGGGCAACAGACAAGACUCUAUCUCAAAAAAAAAAUGUGAACAGAUAUAUUGACAUAAAAUUCAUAAAACAUAUGGAUAUACUAAAAACUAGGAAGUCUGGUUGCUUCUGAGGAUAAGAGUUGAGGACCUGUUUCAAGAAUACUUUGCACAGCUUGUACUAUUGCAGUAUUUGAAUUUUUUCUUGUACAUGUAUAACUUUUUUAAAAAGAAUGAGAAAUGCUGUACAAGUGCAACUAUUUUUACUGUAAGUUUUUAUUUCCAUAAAACUAUAAUUAAGUGUGUGGUCAAUAGAUCCUGUUAUAUAGCUAUGAUAUCCCUUGAAUUUGUUUACCUGGUAACACUAGCUCACGUUUGUAAAUCCUUUGGAACUCCCAAAGCGAUUUUACAUACAUUACCUAAUUUGUAAGAUUACAAAACUAUUACAUUAGCUUUUCUGGUUUUCUUGUCUUAAUACGUGAUUAUCAUAUUAAACUGCAGUGUUUUUUUUUUUCC